GUAGCUUAGCUACCAAUGGGACCUGGUGGACCUCCACCUCCUCCAGGACCUCCCGGACCUCCCGGACCGCCAGGUUUCGGCGGCCCUCCUGGUCCGCCUCCUCUCUGCUGUGGCCUUUGUGAUUGUAUUGGUUCAUGGUACGUAUAUAUGUAUGUAAAUCUACAUCUUUUGAUUUGUUUUUGUUACCAAUUUGUAAAUUUUGUGAUAUUAUUUUUGUACGUAAAUCUACAUCUUAACUCGUUUCUCUCCCUCUCACUCAAGCCAUGCGCAUGCCAUAUACGAAAAUGUGAAAUAAAAUGUUCUAAAAUGUUGAAGAAAUGACCAUUUUGUUUAUGGGAGUUUUGCAGUUUGAGUUUUCUGUGCUGCUGCUGGUUAUUGCAAGACUGCUUUGGUGGGCCACCAGGGCCUCCUGGACCGCCGCCACCUCCAUGAGAUCAUCAAGCAGGCUUGAGUUUCCAGAAAUCAGUUGUAUCGCAUAUAUUUGUAGCAAUUUAUGUACAAUAAAUUUGGAUUAGAAAGAGACUUGUAAUUACGAGUCCUGUUGUGCUAAACUCCAUAGUCCAUAUAAGUUGUGAUCAUUCAUUGUUCGGUUUAAUUUAAUGUUGGAGGAUUAAAUGACCACGUACCAUUUGAUUGAGAUCGAAUGGUAAGUGACCACCAUUUCUUUGGAUCCUCGGGUCUAGAAUAAGUCUGUAAUUCCAGUCAUCACUGAAUUAUAAUUAUCUAUUUAUUUUUGUUUCAUUUUAGCAAGAAAUCAAAUCGAAUAUAAAAUUUAAACUAUCGAAUCAAAAUACUCGAUCCAUCUAAACAGUUGUGAGUUAUAUUUUCGUGUCAUUUUCACAGUGCUGUAAAGGUCUUUCAAUUCAAGAAAAACGUUUUGGUAUAAAUGGGGUAAAAGCCAGAGAAAUUAAUCUCAAUUCUUCUCUACUCUUCUAAAUCUUAUUUUAUUUCUUUCUCCUUGUUUGCGAGUCAUUACUGUCAUUUGGUACCGACAUAUGUUGUUUGUGUAACAUUACACCGUUAUACGUAAAACAGUGUCCUGCCAACGACUCUUUAUAAAAAGUGGCAUGCGGCGUUAGUUUGGGCCACCAAUACAUAUGAGUCUUAUCUUUGUUAGAAAUGUGAUACGUAUGAAAAUUGUGAUAAAAGUAGCUUUUUGAAAAUCCUAAACAUGCACUGCGCACGCUGGUGGUCCUUCACCAUUGUGAUAAAGUUACACUAAUUCAUAUCCCUCGUCCAAACUUUUACUAUGCUUUCGUGUAUGGUAUACAACAAAUGAAUAAAGCGUUUGAUGGGAUGGGACCAAUGAUACAAUAAUUAAUUCAAGAGUUAACAACCAAAAUUUUAUGUAUAAUAUUAUACACCAGUGCAUACUGAAAAAUCUCAGUUGUUCAAUCUCAACAAGAAAAUGCAAAAGUUUGAAUGGAAAUCAUAUCAUGAAUUGAUAUAUAUAUAUAUAUAUAUAUAUAUUCAAGAGUUAACAACCAAAAUUCUAUGUAUAAUAUUAUAUACCAGUGCAUACUGAAAAAUCUCAGUUGUUCAAUCUCAACAAAAAAAUGCAAAAGUUUGAAUGGAAAUCAUAUCAUGAAUUGAUAUAUAUAUAUAUAUGUAUAUAUAUAUAUGGAAUUGCUUAAGGGGAGGGAUCCCCAUUUUUUCAAAAAAAUGGGGACACGCUCCCCACCGUUGGAUUUGAAUUAAAUGAAAUCCUGUGGUUGAGAUUCUAUGGCCUGUGUUUUAAUCUCAACCACACAAUUUCAUUAAAGUCAAUCUAACGGUGGAGAGCGUGUCCCCAUUUUUUUUGAAAAAAUGGGGAUCCCUCCCCUUAAGCUCCCUGAUAUAUAUAUAUAUAUAUAUAUAUAUAUAUAUAUAUAUAUAUAUAUAUUUACAAACGUACACUUUUAAUUGUAUAUACUAUACUAUACACUAGACCUGGCAUUCGUGUCGUAUUUUUCGUGUUUGUGUCGUUCUCGUGUCAUACCCGAUAUCUUAACGGGUCGUGUCGUGUAACACCUGUUAAAAUAAACGGAUAAAAUGACCCGACCCGAAUUGACCCGAUAAUAUUAACAAGUAAUAUGACCCGACAUGUUACCCGUUAAGGAAAAUAUAUUUUAAACCAAUAAAUAAUCAAAUGAAAAACAUAAUACUAAAUAAGUAUAUACAUACCAUAUUGUCACAUCCAAAAAAUAAAAACGUAUUUGAGUAAAGUCUUUAAUAGUUUUUAAAUUAAUGUAGAAUUGUAAAAAAUAUAUAUAUAAACACUCGUAAUGACAAGCUUUAUAACUUUCACGACGAGCUUAACUUCGAAAUUCGCCACUAUAAUCAUAUAAAUCAUACAUCAAAAUUUAACCGUUGAUUGUUGUUUACAUUUACGCUUCAUUGUUCUCAUCAAAUUUUUUUUUUCUUUUCAGAUUUUAUUUUUUGAAAACAUGAUCUAUUAGAGGAUGCAGGAAGAUGAAUGGUUUGGAUCAUUGAUAUUAUAUUCAAAGUUUUACGGUUAGUGAAAAUAUUGCUUGAUGUUUAUAAAGUUUCUACAAACUAUACGACAUCGACUCACAUUUCAGUUAAUCAUAAAUAUCGAAAUUUGAUAUCAAGGAUCUGAACCGUUCAUCUUCUUACAUCCGCCAGAUGAUGAUGUUUUCAAAAAAGAAAAUUUUUAAAAUGAAAUUUAGUAAGAAGACUAAAACGUAAAUGACAAUCGACGUUUAAAUAUAAAAUUAAGGUUUAUGGAUUAUAGUGUUGGAUUUCGAAGCUGACCCCUUCAUGAAAGUUGUAAGGCUUAUCACUAUGAGUGAUUGUAUUUUUUUUUUUUUUUACAAUUAUUACAGUUCUACAAUAAUUAAUUUUGCCCUCAAAUAAAAAAUAUUAUUCAUGAGGGUUUGGAGGAUUUUAAAAAUCUAAACGAUAAUGUAAGUGUAACCAUUAUCUACUCGUAAAGGAAUACUAAUGAAUGACGAGUGUUUAUAUAUUCUUUCAUAUUUUUCAUACUUGUAUGUAUGUCUUCUUAGUUCUUGCCUAUACAAUACUAUACUAGUUUAUUUUAAUUUUGGACAACAAUAUGUUAAGUAAAAUUUAUCCUAUUAAUGAUAAUAAGAAACUCUCAUAAUAAAAAUAAAUAAUGAUUAAAACUUUUUUUUUAACUUAUAUAGAAUAAUAAUACAAAAUUAUAUAUUUAAUAUAUAAUAUAUUGUAUACAUUAAUAUGGCUAUUGUAUUUUUGUUUGGACCUAAUUUUACAAUAUCGGCCCGGGCAAUCAAGACCGUUAAAUAAGUGGUUUCUAAACCGUUGGAUUUCAUAUUUUUCUAGAUAUUACUAUUGAAUUUUCGAAGUAAUUAUCUUAUGAAAUUGUUUGGACCUAAAUUUACAUCAUCGGCUCGUGCGAUCGAGGCCGUUGAAUGAGCAUAACUCCCAAUCAUCGGAUGAAAAAUGAAGAUAAUUUUGUUAUUAUUGAAAGAAGAUGCAAAGCAUAUUUCCGAGCGAGCAGUACAAUUCAAAUGGACUUAGGACUCAUAUUAUCAGAUUAAGCAGCAUGGUGCAUUAGGAUGAGGUUUGAAUAGUCAGGAUGCAUGGUUUUAGGAUAAAGUUGAAGUCAAGAUAAUGAUGCAAAUUGGAGCAGAUAAUGGUGCAUGGGAAUUUGGAUGACAGUGAUCCACGGCAUUUAAAUAUUAUAACCAAUCUGUGGGUUAGAUUGGUGUUCUGCAAAGAUGAAAGGAGCACGGCAUUGACCCAAGGCAUCUUGACUUUGAGGGAUAUUAUCAAGAAGGUUCUUUAUUACAAUAUCCUAACGCUGAGAGUUAGAAUGAAACUGGAAUACUGGCUGAGCAUUACAAAAUCUAUAGAGGCAGCGGCAACGAUCAGAGAGGACCUUCAACUCAACACACAAACUGUCUUGCGCAAACCCUCUCAACAAUCUUGAGAUUUUUAUUUUUCCUUUUUCGCCAACACAUCUUCAGUUUGGAUAAACAGUACUAUGAAGGCAACCAGCGAACAUCUUCAGUUUGGAUAAACAGCAUUGUUGCCGUAGAAUCAGCCAACCGUGAGGCACCUUCAGUUUGGAUAAAUAGCACUGCAACAGGUCCGAUUGGUUAUCUAUCCAAGUUUCAGUCGAGAAGGAUUCUCAAAUCCUCAUUGGCAGAUGUCAUCUCAUUAGCCUACUCGGCAAAGUGAGGUGUUACAAGUUACUACAUUCGGCACAUUGAAAGCUGAAUUUGAUAUUGAACUUAGCAGAAUUAGCAACCUUGUCUUCAGGUUCUAGAACCUGAAGGCUGAGACGUAUACCUUCCUCGGCCGCAGUCGCAAGAUUCAGAAGUUAGCAACGCACCCAACGCAACAUCAACAUAUUUUACUCCUCAGCCGAGCUAGGUCGACGAAUUGGCACGCCCGCAUACAACCAAAGGACGUAGUUAGCUUACUAAUUACUCGGUCUGCGUGCUACUAGGCUUAAUAGUUUUUAGGGUCAACAAUUUUAUAAUAAACCUUUUAGUAAUUAAACUUUAAAAUUAUCAAAAUAAUUUUUUUCUUAAUGGGUCGAAACGGGUUACCCACGUGUAUACAUGUUAAGAACCUGUUAUUAAAGGGUUCAUAACGGGUCACCCGAUAAUGACCCGAUUAGUUAUCGUGUUGAUCCGAAACUUGUUAUUUUCGUGUCGUGUUAGAAACUGCCGGAUCUACUAUACACUGGUAAAUACCAAAAAAAAUCCGAUCUCAAUAGGAAAAUACAAAAGUAUGAAUGGAAAUCGUGUCAUUUGAUACAUGAACCUGCAGUUUUAGUUGUGAAUGGUAGGUGGGAAGAAUGGCAGGAGAAAAAUGUUGGAUGAAAAAAGAAAAAGUUUAAAACUGGACUGGAGGAUAUGGUCAAACACAAUAUAUACAGUAGUUGCUUCUCGUAUAGUCUAGUUAAUUCUAUCUUCCUAUAAACCCUAGCUAUCAUCAACCUUAAGAACUUGUACAAGUUGUUCCCUGCACUGCACUGCCAUGCAUAAAACCUUAUUCUCUGCAGGCUUCGUUUUGUUGAAGAAGGUGGUCGUACGUAUAGGCCUAGUGAGUACGUAGCUUAGCUACCAAUGAGACCUGGUGGAGGUCCCGGAGGACCUCCUGGACCGCCUCCCGGACCGCCUGGUUUCGGAGGACCUCCCGGACCGCCUGGUUUCGGAGGACCUCCCGGACCGCCUGGUCCGCAUCCUCUCUUCGGUGGCUUUUGUGAUUUCAUUGGUGCAUGGUACGUAUAUAUGUAUGUAAAUCUACAUCUUAACUCGUCUCAUUCCCUCUCUCUAAAUGACCAUUUUGUUUAUGGGAGUUUUGCAGUGUGAGUUUUCUGUGUUGCUGCUGGUUAUUGCAAGACUGCUUUGGUGGGCCACCACUAGGGCCUCCAGCACCCUUUGGGCCACCUGCACCAGGGCCUCCCGCACCCUUUGGCCCACCUGCACCAGGGCCUCCUGCUCCCUUUGGCCCACCUGGCCCCCCCGGUCCAGCUGGCCCGCCUGGACCACCACCUCCAUGAGAUCAUCAAGCAGGCUUGAGUUUCCAGAAAUCUGUUGUGUUGCAUACGCAGCAUAUACAGUAGUAGCAGGAACGUGUACAAUAUCUUUGAAUUAGAAAUAGAGUUGUAAUUCCGACUAAAUUCCGAGUCCAAAUAAUUGAUGAUCAUUUA
rnacentral:lncRNA from 1 species